UACGGAGGGGGCUAGCGUUGCUCGGAAUUACUGGGCGUAAAGCGCACGUAGGCGGCUUUGCAAGUUAGAGGUGAAAGCCCGGAGCUUAACUCCGGAAUUGCCUUUAAAACUGCAUCGCUAGAAUUGUGGAGAGGUGAGUGGAAUUCCGAGUGUAGAGGUGAAAUUCGUAGAUAUUCGGAAGAACACCAGUGGCGAAGGCGACUCACUGGACACAUAUUGACGCUGAGGUGCGAAAGCGUGGGGAGCAAACAGG
rnacentral:rRNA from 1 species